rnacentral:misc_RNA from 1 species
AAGUCGUAACAAGGUUGAGAACCAAAUCCAUUGUUAACAGUUGUUCGAGUUUGGUGGCCGCACAAUUAAGCGCAGGCCCGUUUUCAUGCAAAGGGGUGAUCAGGGGGGCCGGCCAGGUCGCCGGCCGUGAUGGCCUCUAGCGAUCGUUACUGCGCCAUCCGGACAGAGCUAAUGACACUUCCACACUACUUCGCCUCGUCUCACACUUCACGCACCAGGUAGACGGAAUCAAAACUGUUCGGCGAUGAUUUACCCGCUGUGCCUGCUACUUUCCAACGAAGCGUGUAAGUACAAUAAAGGUUCACGGGGGGUUUAACGUUUGGAUACGUGUUCAAUGAUCCUUGCGCAGGUUCACCUACGGA